GACUGGAUAGCUCAGUUGGUUAGAGUGUGGUGCUGAUAACGCCAAGGUUGCAGGUUUGAUCCCCAUAUGGGACA